UGUUGUAACCCAUUUCUGGGUCCCCACAUAAAAAAUAAUAAAAUAUAAAAAAAUUCAAAAAAAUAUAUUAUCAAAAAAUAGAACAGUGAAAAAAUGCCAAAGCGCCCUAAAAAUGCUUAAAAAUUGAUUGAGGAUGUUCAAAAAUCAAAAAUUAAUUUUUGACAGUAUAUCAUUGACCGAUGAGAGCCCCGAUGAUAAAGAAAAUUCAAUUUGUGGAAGAAAAAUGCAAAAUCAGAAGUUUAUGGACUCAAUUAAAUUUUAUUAAAGGUUUAAUUGCAUUUAUGAAGAUUUUAAUUGCAAGAAAAAUUGAUUUUGGAGUUAAUUUGGGCUUUAAUUAGGAGAAAUUAAUUUUCUGGGUCAAAUUAUAAUUUUUGGAAGUUAAUUUGGUCAAAUCAGGGGCUUAAUUGCAUAAAUAUUGAAGUUUAAUGGCCAAUUAGGGACUUAAUUGAAGAAAUCCGAGACCAAGGACUAAAAUGCAAAACGCGCGCAAAUUGAGGGCUGAAAUUUGAAUCUGAAAAGUUUUGGCGCCUUUUCCUUUUAAAUGAAACGGCGCGUUUUGACCAAAACGGCGCCGUUUCAUUCACUGUUGCAAAAAAAAAAA
rnacentral:lncRNA from 1 species